ensembl:processed_transcript
AUGUAAAUCUUCCUGGAACUCAGGCCAGGCUGAUGCUUUCCUCGGCAACAGAGCUGGCUUCCAUGUUGAGGUCCCUGCCACAGCGUGCCCCACUGAUGGCCAGCGUCCCCUGGAUGCCACCUUUUUGUCUCAUCCCCCUAUGGCUCUGGGCUCCAGCCAUUGGCCCCCGCUUUGAUUAGGUAGGGCGCGUUCUGUUCCCUUCUGCGCUGGGUCUCUGCACUCUUCACUUGCUUGGCUUGGAGUCCUGUUUUCUGCCCCUCACCUCCUGGGGGUGGGGGCGUCCCUGAUCCCCACCCCCACCCCCAGCCCAGCAGAAAUCACACAGCGGGAGCUGAUUAUCUGCGGAGCAUCCGGUGGCCAGCUAGCUUCCCCCCUGGCCAGUGUGCAGCAGGAAAGCUGCCUGGCAGCCAAGCUUGCAGCUGCUCCUCUGGGUCUCAGCAGAAUGCCCGGCAUCAUGGAGGACCACUGGGCGCUGGAGGGGAUCCCUGGAUCUCGGCAGGCCCCUGGGCUCUCUAGUCUUCAUCAGCACUGCCUCCGCACAACCCCCUUUGUAAAGGGACCUCAUGUUCCCAUUCUCCAGGACAAGGACACUAUGCACAAAGGUUCUUUGACACAAAAGGCGAGCCGCAGACCCAGAUCAGAACCCAGGUAGUUCAUCUCCCUCCUUCUAGCUACAUACCGAGGGGGCAAUAUCUUGCUGUGGGUCUUUGGGCAAACGUCUCAACCUCUCUGAGCAGAAGCUUUGCUUUGUACAGAAUAGGACUGGCCAAAGGGGUAAUUCCUUGAGAUAAUUCCCAGUUAACAUGGGACUGGGGCUGGGGCUGCUGUGUUUUGUGACCUUCAGACAGUUCCUCUGAUGGCCUGACCUGCAGCUAGCACCUACCUCCAAUCAUUCUCCCAGGCUUCUCUAUGAAGUGCACCCUGCUUCACUGCCAAGGAGACAAGGCAGGGAAGCCUGGUAGCUAGAACUCCAGCUUCAAUGUGGGCCAAGUGCAGAUCCUUCCACCUCCUUAGAAUAGCAGUGUGGCUUCAAAGGGUCACUGUCUACCAGGCUCUUCAUCUGUCGUGACUCAUUGAGUUCUGGGUGCUUCCUGGGCUGUGAGGACGACUCCAGCACUUGCCUGUCAUGUCAGAAUGGACACAAUGGCUUUGGUCCACCUGCCUGUGUUCUCAGCUUCUCAGUCAAAUUAACCACGUGGUUGAAGAACGUCAUCUCCACUCAGACAAGUUUCCCAAAUCCAACUGAGAGGCUGGACCUGAGUACCUGGUCAGACCACCAAACUGUCCUGCCUUUCUGUCUCAGGUCUAGCCUGAGCUGCUAUCACUCUGCCACAGGUCUAGCCUGAGCUGUUAUCAUUCUGUCUCAGGUCUAACCUGAGCUGCUGUCACUCUGUCAUCCAGGACUUGCCUUGGCUAUCAGGUCCUGGGGUUCAGAGAUACAAAGCUAAAGGUUUGGGGGGGCCGAGGCUAAUUAUCCUGGGGUGGGGUGGGUAGGAAUUGGAACAGGGUUCUUGGUUUCCCAUGCCACAAGAUUUAUAUUUGUCACCUAAAGGUUCUCUCAACAACACUAGGAUAUCACUCAGGUCCUCAGCAGGGCAUGGGACUUGUCUGAGCGCACAAGAAGGAGGGGAAAUCCCAAGUUCACUGUGUUUUUAAACACAUUUGUGUGCGCACACGUGUGCACACAAAUUAGGGAAUGGAACUGAUAAAGAAAAUGUCAAGAUUCUCCCAGGUCCAUACCUAACACACUCAAGGGAUUCUUACUCCCCAAAUCUUUCUUUUUUUUUUUUUUUUGUUUUCAUAUUUUGAGUCAGAAUCUCGUGUAGCUCAGGCUAGCUUUAAGCUUGCUAUGCAGCCAAGGAUGACCUUGGAUUCCUGGUCCUUCUGCCUCCAUAUCCUGAGAGCUGGAACUGCAGACCUAGGCCAGCAUGCCUGGUGUGGUGCAGUGCCGUGGACAGAACCCAGGACCUUGUACGUGCUGGGCACGUGCUCGUGGACCCACCAUCCCUCGCUCCCAGACACAGCCAUUAAUGAGCAUGAGGGCUCCUGGGUCACAUCCCAGCAGCCUUCUCCUCACACUGUCUUCAUUCCCUUGUUUCCUGUCUCUCUUGACUCUGGGUACACUGAGGGUAACUGGAUCCUUGCUGCAGACCCCCCACACGUGGUUCAGAUCUUAGGGAGGGAGGGGUGAUGCAGACCUUCCCAAAAGCCAGGCCCACUCUUCUAAGGUCUUGGUGUCUCCCAUCUCUGCCUGUGAAAGGAUGUGCCCUGUUCUGAAUGUGAGUGCUGGGUUGAUCCAAAGGAGAGGGAGGCCUUAGUACUCAAAGGAAGGGGGCGUGGCUCAGUAGGGACUGGUUGCACAUACAUCUCCCAUAAGUUCACUCACCUUUAUGGCCAUACAAGAUUCCCACCAUGACAUUCUUGUGGUUUUAUAAGGACAAGGCCAAACAGCCCGAGAAACUGCCAACGGGAGGUUCUGGAACACUCUGUGGGCAGGAGCAGAGGCCAUGACUUGAACCUGGACCUGACAUCGGUAGUGCUCCCAACUGCAGUCAUCCCUUAACAGCUGGCCAGCUGCCAGGUUCCUUUCUCCUCCCAGCCUCUGUUUACCCAGCUCGCACAAUCAGCUUCAUAAGUCUGCAAUUGUUUUCUUUUUUACUCUG